rnacentral:rRNA from 1 species
GACGAACGCUGGCGGCGUGCCUAACACAUGCAAGUCGAGCGAAGUGAGUACUACGGUACGAACUUAGCGGCGGACGGGUGAGUAACGCGUGGACAAUCUACACUGUAGACUGGGAUAACACCUCGAAAGGGGUGCUAAUACCGGAUAAUGUCGAGAAGCGGCAUCGCUUUUCGAAGAAAGGAGGAAAUCCGCUAUAGGAGGAGUCCGCGUCCCAUUAGCUAGUUGGUGAGGGUAACGGCCCACCAAGGCGACGAUGGGUAGCCGGCCUGAGAGGGUGAACGGCCACACUGGAACUGAGACACGGUCCAGACUCCUACGGGAGGCAGCAGUGGGGAAUAUUGUGCAAUGGGGGAAACCCUGACACAGCAGCGCCGCGUGAGCGAAGAAGGCCUUCGGGUUGUAAAGCUCAAUAGUAUAGGAAGAUAAUGACGGUACUUGAGGAGGAAGCCCCGGCUAACUACGUGCCAGCCGCCGCGGUAA